UACGUAGGGAGCAAGCGUUGUCCGGAAUCAUUGGGCGUAAAGCGCACGUAGGCGGCCCUGUAAGUCCGCUGUAAAAGUCAAAGGCUCAACCUUUGAAAGCCGGUGGAUACUGCAGGGCUAGAGUCCGGAAGAGGCGAGUGGAAUUCCUGGUGUAGCGGUGGAAUGCGCAGAUAUCAGGAGGAACACCAAUAGCGAAGGCAGCUCGCUGGGACGGUACUGACGCUAAGGUGCGAAAGCGUGGGGAGCGAACAGG
rnacentral:rRNA from 1 species